CUUCGUUGAAGCCCUCAGCGAAGAAAAGAGUUGGAAAACAUACGCUUAGCGCGUCAGUGCUAGUCCCGUCUCCCGCUCCAAU
rnacentral:ncRNA from 18 species